UGCGUUUUUGUGUUCAAACCUUCCUUAUACUAAUUGAAACAGAUUCUUUGUAUAUAAAUAAAAAAAUGCAUUUUUGACGGGGGCGCUCCAGUGAUUUAUUAUUCAUCUAUUGACUAUUUAUGUAUAUGGCAUCCUAUUACCAUACUGAUACUAGAGGUCCCCUGAUGAACCUUUGAUAAUCUAUAAGGGGAAACGCGUUGGGAUAUUGUACGUUGUGUCAGAAAGUGAUAGGGCUGUAUAAGUACAGGUUAGCCCAGGUACGUGGACAGAGUACACCUACCUUCAAGGUGUAUCUCUGGGCUGAGCAGUGGUGGUAAGGGCAAGAUCAGGGACAGAUAUAUCAUAUUUUGAUUAUCCUUCCUAAGGUAUUAUGUUUUGAUUGUCCUUGCUAGCCGUCCAUUGUAUUGAGAGCUUUAUGUACUACGGAAAUCGUGGUCCAGUUGGUGACCGUAUUUAUUAAUUCUGUAUGUAGAUUAAAAGUAACGUUUUAGGAAGUUGCCCUCAGUGAUAUUUAUGUUGAUUCAGCAACUAUCUUUGGAAUAUCCUGACAUUCAGUGAUUUUGUUUUCUUCUAAUCAUCAGGUUAUAAUUGCUAGAUGGAAGGGACGGGGGGCCCCAUCGAAAAA